UGGUCGGUAGUGUAAUGGUAGCAUAGGAGUCUGUCGGUCUUUUGGCCCGGGUUCGAUUCCCGGCUGACCAG